GGCCACGAUGGCGUAAUGGUAGCGUGGGGGACUGUGGCUGCUUUGGCAGCAGAAAUCCCUAGACCCGAGUUCGAUUCUCGGUCGUGGCCU
rnacentral:tRNA from 1 species